UGACCUCGGAUCAGGUAGGAAUACCCGCCUGA
rnacentral:rRNA from 1 species